UACGGGGGGUGCAAGCGUUGCUCGGAAUCACUGGGCGUAAAGCGUCCGCAGGCGGACCUGCAGGUCGGUCGUGAAAGCCCGAGGCUCAACCUCGGAAAUGCGAUCGAAACCGCUGGUCUCGAGUCCGGGAGAGGGGGGUGGAAUUCCUGGUGUAGAGGUGAAAUUCGUAGAUAUCAGGAGGAACACCGGUGGCGAAAGCGGCCCCCUGGCCCGAAACUGACGCUCAUGGACGAAAGCGUGGGGAGCAAACAGG
rnacentral:rRNA from 1 species